UGGCGGGAAUGAUGGGCAUCGUCUCAUACUUAUCGUAUGAGUUCCUCAAUCUUCCUGGCUUGGCCAAGCCCUCCAACUCUUCGUUCAAGUGGAGAUUGAGAAGAGAAUUCGUGGACGGGCUCACAUCCUUGCUUUUAAAGGGCGAUUAUGCAAUGAAUUUUUGCUAACCCAACUGUUCAAUGAUGGAAAAUUUGCAGUAUUCGUCAAGUUACUAAAUCUAUGGUUAAGAAGAGCGGUUGGUCAUAGACCUACAGAGUCGUUGGGGUAACAG